GCUGUUCAGUCUGUGUCCUGUGUCUGCUCUCCUCUCCUCUUCCUGUGUCUACUCCUUCUGCAGAACAACAGCUCCAACUGAGACUCAGGUUCCUCUGAACAGGACUACGACCAGGGGAAGUGACAGCAGUGUGCAGACUACAGUCAAGUACCUAUACAUCCAUCAAUACCCGCAGAUUGUGAGACCUGUACCAUCCAUCAAUACCAGCAGAGUGUGAGACCUAUACCAUCCAUCAAUACC